UGGUCUAGGAUGAACGCUGGCGGCGUGCCUAAUACAUGCAAGUGAAACGGGUAUCUUCGGAUACCAGUCGCGGACGGGUGAGUAAUACAUAGGCAACCUGCCUUUAUGAGGGGGAUAACCGAGGGAAACUUUGGCUAAUACCGCAUGAAGACUCUAAGGCAUCUUAGAGGGAUAAAAGUUGGGAAACAACGCAUGAAGAUGGGCUUAUGGCGCAUUAGCUAGUUGGUGAGAUAGAAGCCCACCAAGGUAAUGAUGCGUAGCCGACCUGAGAGGGUGAACGGCCACAUUGGGACUGAGACACGGCCCAAACUCCUACGGGAGGCAGCAGUAGGGAAUUUUCGGCAAUGGGGGGAACCCUGACCGAGCAACGCCGCGUGAAAGGAAGAAGGUUUUCGGAUUGUAAACUUCUGUUAUAAGGGAAGAACGGAUUGGAUAGGGAAUGAUCUGAUAGUGACGGUACCUUAUUAGAAAGCCACGGCUAACUACGUGCCAGCAGCCGC
rnacentral:rRNA from 1 species